GACGAACCGUGCGAACGUUGUUCGGAAUUACUGGGCGUAAAGGGCGCGUAGGCGGCCUGCUAAGUCGGACGUGAAAUCCCGAGGCUCAACCUCGGGUCUGCAGUCGAUACGAGCAAACUAGAGUGUUGCAGGGGAGACUGGAAUUCCUGGUGUAGCGGUGAAAUGCGCAGAUAUCAGGAGGAACACCGAUGGCGAAGGCAGCUCGCUGGGACGGUACUGACACUGAGGCGCGAAAGCGUGGGGAGCGAACAGG
rnacentral:rRNA from 1 species